GACGAACGCUGGCGGCGUGCUUAACACAUGCAAGUCGAACGGAAAGGCCCUGCUUUUGUGGGGUGCUCGAGUGGCGAACGGGUGAGUAACACGUGAGUAACCUGCCCUUGACUUUGGGAUAACUUCAGGAAACUGGGGCUAAUACCGGAUAGGAGCUCCUGCUGCAUGGUGGGGGUUGGAAAGUUUCGGCGGUUGGGGAUGGACUCGCGGCUUAUCAGCUUGUUGGUGGGGUAGUGGCUUACCAAGGCUUUGACGGGUAGCCGGCCUGAGAGGGUGACCGGCCACAUUGGGACUGAGAUACGGCCCAGACUCCUACGGGAGGCAGAAGUGGGGAAUAGUGCAAAAUGGGCGGAAGCCUGAUGCAGCAACGCCGCGUGCGGGAUGACGGCCUUCGGGUUGUAAACCGCUUUCGCCUGUGACGAAGAGUGAGUGAAGGUAAUGGGUAAAGAAGCACCGGCUAACUACGUG
rnacentral:rRNA from 1 species